rnacentral:rRNA from 1 species
UAGGGAAUCUUCCGCAAUGGACGCAAGUCUGACGGAGCAACGCCGCGUGAGUGAAGAAGGAUUUCGGUUCGUAAAACUCUGUUGUUAGAGAAGAACAGCGCAUAGAGUAACUGUUAUGCGUGUGACGGUAUCUAACCAGAAAGCCACGGCUAACUACGUGCCAGCAGCCGCGGUAAUACGUAGGUCCCGAGCGUUGUCCGGAUUUAUUGGGCGUAAAGCGAGCGCAGGCGGUUAGAUAAGUCUGAAGUUAAAGGCAGUGGCUCAACCAUUGUAGGCUUUGGAGACUGUUUAACUUGAGUGCAGAAGGGGAGAGUGGAAUUCCAUGUGUAGCGGUGAAAUGCGUAGAUAUAUGGAGGAACACCGGUGGCGAAAGCGGCUCUCUGGUCUGUAACUGACGCUGAGGCUCGAAAGCGUGGGGAGCGAACAGG